UACGGAGGGUGCAAGCGUUGUUCGGAUUUAUUGGGCGUAAAGCGCGUGUAGGCGGUCUUUUAAGUCUGAUGUGAAAGCCCCGGGCUCAACCUGGGAAGUGCAUUGGAUACUGGGAGACUUGAGUACGGGAGAGGGUAGUGGAAUUCCCAGUGUAGGAGUGAAAUCCGUAGAUAUUGGGAGGAACACCGGUGGCGAAGGCGGCUACCUGGACCGAUACUGACGCUGAGACGCGAAAGCGUGGGGAGCAAACAGG
rnacentral:rRNA from 1 species